GUACUUGCUUUUGCAGCACAUAUACUAAAAUUAGAAUGAUACAGAGAAGAUUAGCAUGGCCCCUGUGCGAGGAUGACAUGCAAAUUCAUCAAGUGUUCCAUAUUAUU